AUGUGAUUGAUGCCACCAAGAAUGGGAAUGUUUCACGGUUCAUCAAUCACAGCUGCAUGCCAAAUCUCAUGAACCACCAAGUUCUUAUCAACAGCAUGGAUUCUCAGCAUGCUCAUAUUGGUCUGUAUGCAAGUCGAGNNCUUCUGGUGAAGAACUAACGUACAAUUUUCUGUAUGAUCUGCUGCCUGGAGAAGGGUAUCCUUGCCAUUGUGAAACUUCCAAGUGCAGAGGGCGCCUUCGCUAAAUCGUACUAAAUCUUGAUGGACAUUGAGUUCUUGUGGUCUUGUCUGCGAAUAAUAAGGGAGACGGGAGAUUUGAGUCCAUUCCCUGCAAGCCAAAUUUAUGGGCAGACCAAAUCAUGAGUAGCUCAUUGAG
rnacentral:misc_RNA from 1 species